GCUAUACUGACCCUGCUGGGAAAUUAUCCAGCAAUCCUGAGGUUUGUACAGGAUUUGAAUAAGGGUGCAUUUAAACUAAAAAGGGCACAAAAAUGUUCCUCACCUAGGGGUUCUUUAAAUCGAAACACUGGUCAAUAUUUCUCUAUAUAAUACAUUCCAGAAACCCAGAUGGAUACAUCAUCUUACAAUUUCGAUUUGUCUUCUUUCAUCUAGU